ACAACCUUGCCAGGGAGAUAGUAUUGCUCACGUUUCAAGGUGUGGAAGUAAAGAUUCAGGAAAAUGAGCUUACCUGCCCAAAGUGAUCUGACAGGGACAGAUGACCAAACCUUGCAGACAGCGGCGGGAGCUGGAGGGACUUUGUUGAGGACUGGGACCCAGGUGCGGUUGCUGCAAUGCUCUCUGCUUUGGCAGAGAAAAGAUGCAGAUUCCCAGGUCACACCAAGUGACCUCUCCAGAACCUGGAACAGCCUCUGUGUGGACUGCCAUGGGAGAGCUGGAGCCACCACAGAAUCUUGCUCACCCCAGGGAGGUGGCAGCAAUAGGAUCAUCACGACUUUUCACCUUGACCUUUCACCACAGCCUGACCCCUCCAAGGUAGCUGCUCAAUGCCAGUUUGUGGAUCGACAUGUGAUUCUUACAUUUGCAACAACAUCUUCUGUGAGUAGCCUGCUCCCCCAGCACGAGGAAAAUGACACUGAUCCUGAGAGGAUUUGAUUCGUGCAUUCUGGAGGGACAAGCCUGCCUGGAAAAGUCUCCUGCAGGAGAGGCAGACCAGGCUGCCCCAACCUGAGUGUGGACUCCAGCCCUGGGCUGCCGGGCGAUAUGUCCUCCCAUCCACCCACUACCCUCACCAGUCUCAGCAGCGACUCAGAAUCUCUGUCUGGGUCUGGUCCACCACCUUCCCCUAUUUGGACUUGAACUCCUUCAGGGCUGGCACAGUGACCCGUCAUCCUAUCAUGCCCACAGUGACCUGCUGGGUGCUGUGAGAUGUCAGUUUGGGCCCUGCUGUGUGCACCAACUUCACUGGUGAUACUGUUACCACCUUAAGGGUCAGAGAGGUUUAAGAACUCACCCAAAGUCACCCAGCCAGUAAAUGGCUCAGUUGGGGUUCAAACCCAAGUCUAUAAGAUGCCAGAUCCCCUGGUCCAUCCAGACACCUGACUGCAUCUUGUACAUUGCACACAAUAGAUGUAAACAAUACAAAUGUCUACAGAAGUCAGGGACUGGGCGCGGUGCUUCACACCUGGAAUCCCAGCAUUUCAGAGGCCAAGGCUGGUGGAUCGCUUGAGCCUAGGAGUUUGAGACCAGCUGGGCAACAUGGUGAGACCCCAUCUCUACAAAAAGUACAAAAAUUAGCCAGGUGUGAUGGUGCACACCUGUGGUCCCUGAUACUGGGAGGCUGAGGUUGGAGGAUCACUUGAAGUUGAGGUCAAGGCUACAGUGAGCCGAGAUUGCAUCACUGUACUCCAGCCUGCGGGACAGAGCCAGACCCUGUCUCAAAAAUAAAUAAAUAAAUCUACAGAAGUGAAUCUGCCUGGAAAUGGAGAACCUAAAAGAAUCAUCAGGAGGUUUGGUUGGUGAUGUAGCAUUAAGGUGCCUGAGAGCCUCUUACACACACAGGCCAAGUGGGGAUCUAAGCCAAAGCACCUCCUCCAUGGUUUUAGGCCUAUGCUGGUGAACAAGGCAGAUGCAGCCCCGACAGCACCUGCCUUCCAGCUCUGCCACUGGACGGAGACAUCACAGACUUGUAGCAGGGACAGCCAUCCAGCCCACUGGGUGUUCACAUAUCUUCCACUUAAAACCUAGAAAAUGGAAGCGCAGAGUAGACAUAAGCCCGGUGCUGUUUUAAAAGGGAAUGGUUUAGUAACCUGUAGGUAGCUCUCUUCCUAUCCCCUGUGCCUGCAUGCAGCUGUGGGACCACAGUGGCUUGACACCUCCAUCAGUUCCCCCAUUCUAGGGUCAGAAGUGGGUCCUAUCAGAAGGUACAGCUUUCUGGCCUGGGCACAUUGCAGAAAGUGCUGCGGUUCUAAUUCUCACCACCAGAAGGCGCUCCUAGACCCUCUGCUGGGUUCAUACUACAAUGUUUCCAUCUAAAUCCAUGAAUCAGUUUUUUCUCACUCCUCUGUAUGUGAAAGCUACACCUAAAAUGUUUCUACUUAAAUCCAUGAACUAGUUUCCCUUACACCUUCCUCUGUAGGCGAAAGUUCCUCCAGAGACUAGAGCAGGACUUUGAAGGCCCAUGAACUGGGAAAUUAACUGUUUAGGUGCCAAAAGUGGGAGUUGUGAUGGGGGUUAAACUGACAGAGGAGGCGAAUGCUAUUGCUGUUUGAAAACGUAGGCCGGGCACUGUGGCUCACGCCUGUAAUCCCAGCACUUCGGGAGGCCAAGGCGGGCGGAUGACGAUUUGAGGAGAUGGAGACCAUCCUGGCCAACAUGGUGAAACCCUGGCUCUACUAAAAAUACAAAAAUUAGCUGGACGUGGUGGUGCAUGCCUGUAAUCCUAGCUACUCAGGAGGCUGAGGCAGGAGAAUCACUUGAACCGGGGAGUCAGAGGUUGCAGUGAGCCAGGAUCGCGCCACUGCACUCCAGCCUGGUGACAGAGAGAGACUCCGUUUC